UCUGCACUGACGGAGGAGGGACUGUUGUUGGAGACUGACUGAAGGGCUAGCAUAUCAACUGCAGAAGUCUUUCACCAUGACUAUUAUAACCAGCCUGCUUCUGAUUACAGUAAUCUUUACCAGUGUUAAAAGUCAGACACUGACUGAGUCUGAACCAGCAGUUAAAAAGCCUGGAGAUUCCCACACACUGACCUGUACAGCCUCUGGGUUCACAUUCAGUGACUAUGCUAUGCACUGGAUCAGACAGGCUCCUGGGAAGGGACUGGAGUGGGUGGCCGAGAUCAGUGAUGGUGGUGACAGCACAUAUUAUGCCACGUCUGUUAAGGGAAGAUUCACCAUCUCCAGAGACAACAGCAAGAACCAGCUGUAUUUACAGAUGAACAGGCUGACAGCUGAAGACACUGCAGUGUAUUACUGUGCCAGAGACACACAGUGAGAGAGAGUGAGGGGAGAGCUGCACAAAAACCUCUUCCCCUUUAUCACACAGAGCACGUGUUUUCUUUAAUGUCAACUCCUUUUGGAAGCAUGCAUUUCUCUAUACCGAUAGAUUUUUGAGCAGAACUUGUCACCAGAACGCCCUUUUCACAUUCUUCCACUGAAGACGAAGAGCAUCUCCUUACUUCCCUGAAAAUUGUUUUGAUAGGAUUUAAAUUGACAUCCUGAGUCACUACUGUCAUUAACUAUUCCCUGACUCCCAUUGCCAUAAGUGUAGGUGAGAAUCAGGGAUGCUGAUCAGAAUAUAUGUUUGUUAUAUGAAGCGUACAAUAAAGCCUGUGUGUGUCUCA